rnacentral:misc_RNA from 1 species
GAUCAACAUAAAUCCCGGUUCAAAACAUCUUAUAUAUCUGUUGAAUGUCUGAAUCCAACCAACUACAUAAAGUGGAAUCUGUGUCUGCGUGCACACCGUGCAAUGAACGCUAACAGAAACAGAGGUAAUGAAUCAAUCAAAUGUCAGAGGUAAUAACAUUAGAAGCAUGAUUAUUGAUAUUUGAUCAAUUUAACUAUGUAAAACCGACUCGUAAAACUGAAAUACCAGCAUCCUAUAAAAUGAAAACCGAACUGAACCUAAAGAAAACCCAGAUGUUGGAUGCAAUGAGGAAGAGUUCAACUACCUAAUUUAAAGGCAUCCACAAAGAGUCCUAAGCACACUCCUGCUUUCCAA